rnacentral:lncRNA from 11 species
GAGAAAGAAAGAUUGCAUGCCUUCAGCAGUCUUCAAAGUCAGCAAGUGGAAUAGGAAAUGAACUGCAGUUCAGUGACCUUCUGUGGCCUUAACAGUGGGAGCAGGAUAAAAAUCGUGCUGAGGACACCCUCCUUCAAGGACAAUACAUUGCUGGUUAAUAUCCACCCAGAGAUUACUGGCAAAGGCUGCUGAAGCAGAAAGUCUGACAGAAAUCAGGUUGAACUUUGGCACUUCUAAUUUUAGAAGUUUAAAACAUUUUACCAUCAUGUUGUACAUGAUAAAGUGCUUCAAAUUUCCAUAUUAGUUAUCUUGUACAGAAUGUAUUCAUCUUGAGUCUUGGGAAGACGUACAAGCAAGGCAUUAGAUUUUCAUUUUUAAAUAACUGGAUUCAUUACUUUGUUACUCCAGUUGCU